rnacentral:lncRNA from 1 species
UUCAGUUUAGGGUUUAAAACCCUAAUGCUGACUAAAGGAAAAAGUUCAGUUUAGGGUUUAAAACCCUAAUGCUGACUGAAUGGAAAAAGUUCAGUUUAGGGUUUAAAACCCUAAUGCUGACUAAAAUGGAAAAAGUUCAGUUUAGGGUUUAAAACCCUAAUGCUGAUUAAAGGAAAAAGUUCAGUUUAGGGUUUAAAACCCUAAUGCUGAUUAAAGGAAAAAGUUCAGUUUAGGGUUUAAAACCCUAAUGCUGACUAAAGGAAAGAGUUCAGUUUAGGGUUUAAAACCCUAAUGCUGACUGAAUGGAAAAAGUUCAGUUUAGGGUUUAAAACCCUAAUGCUGACUGAAGGAAAGAGUUCAGUUUAGGGUUUAAAACCCUAAUGCUGACUGAAUGGAAAAAGUUCAGUUUAGGGUUUAAAACCCUAAUGCUGACUGAAUGGAAAAAGUUCAGUUUAGGGUUUAAAACCCUAAUGCUGAUUAAAGGAAAAAGUUCAGUUUAGGGUUUAAAACCCUAAUGCUGACUAAAGGAAAGAGUUCAGUUUAGGGUUUAAAACCUAAAACCCUAAUGCUGACUGAGAGGAAAAAGUUCAGUUUAGGGUUUAAAACCCUAAUGCUGAUUGAAGAAAAGAGUUCAGUUUAGAGUUUAAAACCCUAAUGCUGACUGAAGGGAAAAAUUCAGUUUAGGGUUUAAAACCCUAAUGCUGACUAAAGGAAAGAGUUCAGUUUAGGGUUUAAAACCCUAAUGCUGACUGAAGGAAAGAGUUCAGUUUAGGGUUUAAAACCCUAAUGCUGACUGAAGAAAAGAGUUCAGUUUAGGGUUUAAAACCCUAAUGCUGACUAAAGGAAAGAGUUCAGUUUAGGGUUUAAAACCCUAAUGCUGACUAAAGGAAAAAGUUCAGUUUAGGGUUUAAAACCCUAAUGCUGACUAAAGGAAAGAGUUCAGUUUAGGGUUUAAAACCCUAAUGCUGACUGAAUGGAAAAAGUUCAGUUUAGGGUGUAAAACCCUAAUGUUGACUGAAGGAAAGAGUUCAGUUUAGGGUUUAA